GUUCAUAGGAAUCUGCAGCCAGAUGCCCCAGACACCGUUACAGUGGUUCCCCUUUAUCCUAAGGGCGAUGGAGGGUGUACACCAGACACUGGAAGGACGUGGAAUGGUGAGAAGACUGGCCAGAGAUGUCCAAGUGUACAGUCCGACCCCAAGCAGCUGGGACGAUCUCGACCCCGCCCCUGGCCAGUGCCGCAGUACCGCGUUGUGUGCGCUCCCCUGGCUAGCACGAGGCCCCCGGAACUUGUUGUGGUGCCAGGGAACACCCCCACGGCGCACUUGGAGCAGCUGGUUCCAGACACACCCUAUUCCAUGAACAUCACUGCACUCCACUCGGAUGGAGGCAGAAUCCCAGCCCCACGCGGGGCCAAACACAUGAGGCUGAAAUCCUUCCCACCCAGUUCCCUUGUGACUCAGUGAGGAAGGCUGGGCAGGUGGGUGCUGAGGUGGGUGCUGAGAGCCGCUGCCACCUUGCGCAGGUGAGGGGACGCCUGGAGCCCACUUCUGCCCGGGUUCCCACGUGCACAUUCAGUCUG